rnacentral:rRNA from 1 species
UGACAGUACUCCUACGGGGAGGCAGCAGUGGGGGAAUAUUGCACAAUGGGCGCAAGCCUGAUGCAGCCAUGCCGCGUGUGUGAAGAAGGCCUUCGGGUUGUAAAGCACUUUCAGUCGUGAGGAAGGUGGUAGUGUUAAUAGCACUAUCAUUUGACGUUAGCGACAGAAGAAGCACCGGCUAACUCCGUGCCAGCAGCCGCGGUAAUACGGAGGGUGCGAGCGUUAAUCGGAAUUACUGGGCGUAAAGCGCAUGCAGGUGGUUUGUUAAGUCAGAUGUGAAAGACCCGGGGCUCAACCUCGGAAUAGCAUUUGAAACUGGCAGACUAGAGUACUGUAGAGGGGGGUAGGAAUUUCAGGUGUAGCGGUGAAAUGCGUAGAGAUCUGAAGGAAUACCGGUGGCGAAGGCGGCCCCCUCGGACAGAUACUGACACUCAGAUGCGAAAGCGUGGGGAGCAAACAGGAUUAGAUACCCUGGUAG